AGUUAGCUCAGUUGGUAGAGCGUUAGGCUUUUAACCUAAUGGUCUGGGGUUCGAGCCCC
rnacentral:tRNA from 1 species